UACAGAGACUGCAAGCGUUAUUCGGAUUCACUGGGCGUAAAGGGUGCGCAGGCGGCCGUGUGUGUCAGAUGUGAAAGCCCGGGGCUUAACCCCGGAACUGCGUCUGAAACUACACGGCUAGAGCAUUGGAGAGGGAAGUGGAAUUCAUGGUGUAGCAGUGAAAUGCGUAGAUAUCAUGAGGAACACCAGAGGCGAAGGCGACUUCCUGGACAAUUGCUGACGCUCAGGCACGAAAGCGUGGGUAGCCAAAGGG
rnacentral:rRNA from 1 species